rnacentral:rRNA from 1 species
ACGGAGGGUGCGAGCGUUAUUCGGAAUCACUGGGCGUAAAGCGCGCGUAGGCGGUUUCGUAAGUCGGAUGUGAAAGCCCUCGGCUCAACCGGGGAACUGCAUUCGAUACUGGGAGGCUUGAGUGCGGGAGAGGGAGGCGGAAUUCCAGGUGUAGCAGUGAAAUCCGUAGAUAUCAGGAGGAACACCAGUGGCGAAGGCGGCCUCCUGGGACGUAUCUGACGCUGAGGCGCGAAAGCGUGGGGAUCAAACAG